UGCCGCGUGCAGGAAGACUGCCCUAUGGGUUGUAAACUGCUUUUAUCCGGGAAUAAACCUAAGUACGUGUACUUAGCUGAAUGUACCGGAUGAAUAAGGAUCGGCUAACUCCGUGCCAGCAGCCGCGGUAAUACGGAGGAUCCGAGCGUUAUCCGGAUUUAUUGGGUUUAAAGGGUGCGUAGGCGGCCUGUUAAGUCAGGGGUGAAAGACGGUAGCUCAACUAUCGCACUGCCCUUGAUACUGAUGGGCUUGAAUGGACUAGAGGUAGGCGGAAUGAGACAAGUAGCGGUGAAAUGCAUAGAUAUGUCUCAGAACACCGAUCGCAAACGCAGCUUACUAUGGUCUUAUUGACGCUGAGGCACGAAAGCGUGGGGAUCAAACAGGAUUACAUACCCUGGUAGUCCACGCCCUAAACGAUGAACACUCGCUGUUGGCGAUACACAGUCAGCGGCUAACCGAAAGCGUUAAGUGUUCCACCUGGGGAGUACGCUCGCAAGAGUGAAACUCACAGGAAUUGACGGGAGCCCGCACAAGCGGAGGAACAUGUGGUUUAAUUCGAUGAUACGCGAGGAACCUUACCCGGGCUUGAAAGUUAGUGAAUGAUCUA
rnacentral:rRNA from 1 species